GACGAACCGUGCGAACGUUGUUCGGAAUCACUGGGCAUAAAGGGCGCGUAGGCGGCUUGUCAAGUCAGGGGUGAAAUCCGGCAGCUUAACUGUCGAAGUGCCUUUGAUACUGACGAGCUCGAGGGAGGUAGGGGUCGCUGGAACUUCCGGUGGAGCGGUGAAAUGCGUUGAUAUCGGAAGGAACGCCGGUGGCGAAAGCGAGCGACUGGAUCUCUUCUGACGCUGAGGCGCGAAAGCUAGGGGAGCAAACGGG
rnacentral:rRNA from 1 species